rnacentral:tRNA from 1 species
GGGAUGGUAGCUUAAGCGGUCUGAGCGGCGGACUGAAAAUCUGCAGGAUGAAGGUUCGACACCUUCUCAUCCCA